rnacentral:lncRNA from 1 species
GUACCGGGUGCAAUCCUGCCAAAAGAUAAACAUUUACAUUUAAUAAUCAUUGAAAGCUUACUGUAUUCCAAGCACUACCGUAUUUCACCCUCAGAGACAUUCCGCCAAGGUAUUAUUAUCAGGGACCUGGACUUGCAGCAGAGAGAUAAACAGCACAACCCAGAAAGAGUUGGUGCUAACAAGAUUUGGAGAGCAGGAUUCUUGACUUCAUGCCCUCCAGCUCAACUCUUGCUUGGGUACACAGUUUUUCGGAAGCAACAUUGUUAUAAUGAAAAGAGGCUCAACAAAGGAACCCCCUUCCUGGUCUUAGUGAGUCUCCACCUUAUGAGUCUUGAUUGGGAGGUAAAGUUCCCACCCGUUCAGUUUCUCUUGCUCUGCCAAUCUGAUACUCUCACCCAGGAUCUUGCUAUGAGAUGCUGUAGUCCAGAUGAAGUGGUACACACUGUGGAUUUAGUAGUCAGUUGUGGUAGCGCUGUGGCAUGACAAUUGUGACGAUGUUCUUUUGAGAGUCUCAUCUUUAGCCUUCCUUGCCUGCAUCUUCUUUUCCAAUCCUGAUUCUUCAGUGUCUCCAUUCAGCUUGGUUAGACUUACCUUUCCAAAUUUGCGUAAGUGGUUGUUUGUGCUUGUUAGCAAUAACAUAAUUAUGUGAUAGUAGAAUAAGAAAAUAUACCAUACAAGCCAUGGUACUAAUGGGAACGAUUAAGUCAAUCUUUAUAUCUCUUACUUUUAGCAAGGACAUGUGGAUGGUUUCAAAACACGGUGAUUCACAAGCCAAAUAGAUUCCUUUAGGUGCUCAGAGUUAAUGACCAAUGUCAAGACGAAUGAAAUAUUUGAUGUCUGAACUAAUGUUUAGUCUGAAGAUGUGGAUUGUUUCCCAGGGUUGGGAAACACAAGGUAUGCAGAAAUCAGAGGCAGAAGAAUGUUGUACAAAGAGCAUAUGCUUUGAAGUCACUUCUUCCUGCAGUAACAGCCAUGUGAUACCUGCCAGAGCCUGGCUUCUCUAAGUUUUAGGAUGCUCAUAUGAUCAAUGGGGCUAAGUGCAUACACUCUUCUAAUUAUAAGCAGAGUUCAGAAUUCAAAAUAAUCUGGCAAACACAGAAUGAAAGUUGGUGCCCAAGGCUUUUCCUCUUCUGUUACAACUUCUGUUAACUUGUGUAUGUGGUAAAAGCCAUUUUGCCACAAAGGAGAUAAUAAAGGAACAGAGGACUCAAAGAGCUGUCUGUCA